AUACGUAGGGGGCGAGCGUUAUCCGGAAUUAUUGGGCGUAAAGAGUACGUAGGUGGUUGCGUAAGCGCAAGGUGAAAGACCGGGGCUUAACUUCGGUGAGCCUUGUGAACUGCGUGACUUGAGUGCAGGAGGGGAAAGUGGAAUUCCUAGUGUAGCGGUGAAAUGCGUAGAUAUUAGGAGGAACACCAGUGGCGAAGGCGACUUUCUGGACUGUAACUGACACUGAGGUACGAAAGCGUGGGGAGCAAACAGGAUUAGAUACCCUGGUAGUCCACGCCGUAAACGAUGAUCACUAGGUGUUGGCACGCAUAGCGUGUCGGUGCCGCAGCAAACGCAAUAAGUGAUCCACCUGGGGAGUACGUUCGCAAGAAUGAAACUCAAAUGAAUUGACGGGG
rnacentral:rRNA from 1 species